GAUGAACGCUGGCGGCGUGCCUAAUACAUGCAAGUCGAGCGAACAGACGAGGAGCUUGCUCCUCUGACGUUAGCGGCGGACGGGUGAGUAACACGUGGAUAACCUACCUAUAAGACUGGGAUAACUUCGGGAAACCGGAGCUAAUACCGGAUAAUAUAUUGAACCGCAUGGUUCAAUAGUGAAAGACGGUUUUGCUGUCACUUAUAGACGGAUCCGCGCCGCAUUAGCUAGUUGGUAAGGUAACGGCUUACCAAGGCAACGAUGCGUAGCCGACCUGAGAGGGUGAUCGGCCACACUGGAACUGAGACACGGUCCAGACUCCUACGGGAGGCAGCAGUAGGGAAUCUUCGGCAAUGGGCGAAAGCCUGACGGAGCAACGCCGCGUGAGUGAUGAAGGUCUUCGGAUCGUAAAGCUCUGUUAUUAGGGAAGAACAAAUGUGUAAGUAACUAUGCACGUCUUGACGGUACCUAAUCAGAAAGCCACGGCUAACUACGUG
rnacentral:rRNA from 1 species